rnacentral:rRNA from 1 species
GCUUACGGCCAUACCAACCUGGCUAUGCCCGAUCUCGUCUGAUCUCGGAAGCUAAGCAGGUUUGGGCCUGGUUAGUACUUGGAUGGGAGACCCGCCUGGGGAAUACCAGGUGCUGUAAGCU